rnacentral:rRNA from 1 species
AUUGAACGCUGGCGGCAGGCCUAACACAUGCAAGUCGAGCGAGUGGCGGACGGGUGAGUAAUGUCUGGGGAACUGCCCGAUGGAGGGGGAUAACUACUGGAAACGGUAGCUAAUACCGCAUACCAUCAGAUGUACCCAGAUGGGAUUAGCUAGUUGGUGGGGUAAAGGCUCACCAAGGCGACGAUCCCUAGCUGGUCUGAGAGGAUGACCAGCCACACUGGAACUGAGACACGGCCCAGACUCCUACGGGAGGCAGCAGUGGGGAAUAUUGCACAAUGGGCGCAAGCCUGAUGCAGCCAUGCCGCGUGUAUGAAGAAGGCCUUCGGGUUGUAAAGUACUUUCAGCGGGGAGGCGUUACCCGCAGAAGAAGCACCGGCUAACUCCGUGCCAGCAGCCGCGGUAAUUC